rnacentral:rRNA from 1 species
UACGUAGGUGGCAAGCGUUGUCCGGAAUUAUUGGGCGUAAAGCGCGCGCAGGCGGUUCCUUAAGUCUGAUGUGAAAGCCCACGGCUCAACCGUGGAGGGUCAUUGGAAACUGGGGGAACUUGAGUGCAGGAGAGAAGAGUGGAAUUCCACGUGUAGCGGUGAAAUGCGUAGAGAUGUGGAGGAACACCAGUGGCGAAGGCGACUCUUUGGCCUGUAACUGACGCUGAGGCGCGAAAGCGUGGGGAGCAAACAGG